AUUGAACGCUGGCGGCAGGCCUAACACAUGCAAGUCGGGCGAGCGGCGGACGGGUGAGUAAUGUAUGGGGAUCUGCCUGAUGGAGGGGGAUAACUACUGGAAAAGGUAGCUAAUAAUGCGUACCGUAGGAUGAGCCCAAGUGGGAUUAGGUAGCUGGUGUGGUAAAGGCUCACCAAGCCGACGCUCUCUAGCUUGUCUGAGAGGAUGACCAGCCACACUGGGACUGAGACACGGCCCAGACUCCUACGGGAGGCAGCAGUGGGGAAUAUUGCGCAAUUGGGGCAACCUGACGCAGCCAUGCCGCGUGAAUGAAGAAGGCCUUCGGUUUGUAAAGUUCUUUCGGUAGCGAGGCGUUAACUACAGAAGAAGCACCGGCUAACUCCGUGCCAGCAGCCGCGGUAAUAC
rnacentral:rRNA from 1 species